UACGAAGGGGGCUAGCGUUGCUCGGAAUUACUGGGCGUAAAGCGCACGUAAGGCGGCUUCUUAAGUCAGGGGUGAAAUCCUGGAGCUCAACUCCAGAACUGCCUUUGAUACUGAGAGCUUGAGUCCGGGAGAGGUGAGUGGAACUGGCGAGUGUAGAGGUGAAAUUCGUAGAUAUUCGCAAGAACACCAGUGGCGAAGGCGGCUCACUGGCC
rnacentral:rRNA from 1 species